CUCGAUUGCAUUAUACUCGAACUGAUCAACAUGUUGGUCGAAAAGAAUCUUGAAGAGUUCAAGGGGUGCUGUUCUCGCUGUGGAGCGGAUUUCUUCCAAGAGAAAAUCUAUUCCUGUGGAGCAGACUUCUUUCAAGAAAAAGUCUAUUGGAAAGAAGAAAGCAAAAUUUACUAAGAAGUAGAAAGAGGAGAAUAGGCCAAAGAAGGAAGUUUCUAGCA
rnacentral:lncRNA from 1 species